GAUGAACGCUGGCGGCGUGCCUAAUACAUGCAAGUCGAGCGAACGGACGAGAAGCUUGCUUCUCUGAUGUUAGCGGCGGACGGGUGAGUAACACGUGGAUAACCUACCUAUAAGACUGGGAUAACUUCGGGAAACCGGAGCUAAUACCGGAUGAUAUUUUGAACCGCAUGGUUCAAAAGUGAAAGACGGUCUUGCUGUCACUUAUAGAUGGAUCCGCGCUGCAUUAGCUAGUUGGUAAGGUAACGGCUUACCAAGGCAACGAUGCAUAGCCGACCUGAGAGGGUGAUCGGCCACACUGGAACUGAGACACGGUCCAGACUCCUACGGGAGGCAGCAGUAGGGAAUCUUCCGCAAUGGGCGAAAGCCUGAAGGAGCAACGCCGCGUGAGUGAUGAAGGUCUUCGGAUCGUAAAACUCUGUUAUUAGGGAAGAACAUAUGUGUAAGUAACUGUGCACAUCUUGACGGUACCUAAUCAGAAAGCCACGGCUAACUACGU
rnacentral:rRNA from 1 species